UACGUAGGUGGCAAGCGUUGUCCGGAUUUACUGGGCGUAAAGAGCGCGCAGGCGGUCGAGUAAGUCGAAUGUGAAAGCCCCCGGCUUAACUGGGGAGGGUCAUUCGAUACUGUUCGACUUGAAGGCAGGAGAGGGCAGCAGAAUUCCCGGUGUAGUGGUGAAAUGCGUAGAUAUCGGGAGGAAUACCGGUGGCGAAGGCGGCAUCCUGGACCGGUAUUGACGCUGAGGCGCGAAAGCCAGGGGAGCAAAGCGGG
rnacentral:rRNA from 1 species